ensembl:lncRNA
AAGGUAGACCCUACAAUAAUACAUACAGACAAAAACCCAACAAUCAUAUGACCCCCUAUGAGCAAGCACUUUGGCGACAGUGGGAAGGAAAAACUCCCUUUUAACAGGAAGAAACCUCUGGCAGAACCAGGCUCAGGGAGGGGCGGUGCCAUCUGAUCAGCUGUUCCUGAAUGUACCCAGGACUGAGUGUAAACUUAGAGGAAACCGUGCUUUUGCUGUAGCAGCUCCAGACAGGCCUCUUCUCUGCCUGUUUUUACAUCACUUCUGGAAACCCACGUCUUCACCCUGGCAUUUCACACCCUGCUAGAUGUUAUUUAUUUUUUUAUUUUUUUAGGUGAUUGUAGUGAGAUGAUGAUGUUGAUUUUAGUGAGAUGUUGGUUUUUAAUUCAUUUUCAUUUCAGUUGUUUUUUAGUCGAUUGUAUGUUGUUGUUUUUAAUGUAGGACUGUUUUAAUUUUAUGUAUUAUGUGUUUUAUUAUUUAUUUUGUUGCUGUUUUGUUUGAUCUAUUGCUCUUAACUUAUUUACUGUACACACUUUGGUCUUGUGCUGGCUAUUUUAAAGCUCUUUAUAAAAAAAGUUGGACUGGAUCUGCCGCGAAUGGUUGGGGUGAGAGAAGGAAGACAGGAUAAAAGGCCUAACUGUCUAAGGCCUGUCCAAGGUAUCCUGCCUUUUCCUCAACUGGACCCUGAGUUGUGGUCAAGAAAUUGGAUGGAAGACCUUCCUUUAGUUCCCCAUGAAACAGAAGAUUUGAGCAGCAGGUGACUGGAGCAUCUGUGCUCACAGCCAGACCCAAGGCGCUAAGAUGUGAGACAAAAGUAGGGGGGAAAACGAUGUAUGAAAAGAGCAGAUUGAAGCCAAAGCUUUUGGCUUACAGGUGGACUCAUGUUCUGCAUCAUGGCUCAAAAUAAGAUAAAUAAGGAUUUCAUUUUUAAUUAUGCAAAGCCCCCGGAGUAGAGUCCAAGAUUAAAAAUAUAGAGUUUUUAAAGAGUUUACACUGACAGGAGACACUAAAAUAUCAGCCACUCAAAAACAAGCAGUGAGAAAAGAAGACAUUAUAAAGCACUGUUAGGAGCAGCAUUAAGAAAGCUUAAAUGAGCUUAAACAGAGAACUCAAUAAUUCCUUAAUAUGAAUGAAGUCAAAUGUGAGUGUAGCUUGAUGCCCUGCUGAACUAUUUUUGAUUAUAAGGACUUUGUGUUUCAGUGUUACCUGUGCUGUUUAUUUAAUUAUAACACAAUACAUUCUCCUUAUAUAUGCUCAAGAUCAUAGAG